GAAAUGCGAUAAGUAAUGUGAAUUGCAGAAUUCAGUGAAUCAUCGAAUCUUUGAACGCAUCUUGCGCUCCUUGGUAUUCCGAGGAGCAUGCCUGUUUGAGUGUCAUUAAAUUCUCAACUCUCCUAUACUGUUUUUGUAGAGGAGAGCUUGGAUUGUGGGGGCUUGCUGGCCACUCGUUUGAGGUCAGCUCCUCUGAAAUGCAUUAGCGGAACUGUUUGCGAUCUGCCACAAGUGUGAUAGAUUAUCUACACUGGCGAGGGGAUUGCUCUCUGUGUUGUUCUGCUUCUAAUUGUUUCAAUUUGAUGAAACAACUUUUUGAAUACUUGACCUCAAAUCAGGUAGGACUACCCGCUGAACUUAA
rnacentral:rRNA from 1 species